rnacentral:rRNA from 1 species
CCUACGGGCGGCAGCAGUAGGGAAUAUUGCUCAAUGGGGGAAACCCUGAAGCAGCAACGCCGCGUGGAGGAUGAAGGUUUUAGGAUUGUAAACUCCUUUUGUGAGGGAAGUUAAUGACGGUAUCUAUCGCCUAAGCACCGGAUAACACCGUGACAGCAGCCGCGGUAAUACGGAGGGUGCAAGCGUUACUCGGAAUCACUGGGCGUAAAGAGUGCGCAGGCGGGCUUUUAAGGCAGAUGUGAAAUCCUGGGGCUUAACCACAGAACUGCAUUUGAUACUGGGAGUCUAGAGUGUGGUAGAGGGGGGUGGAAUUCCAGGUGUAGCGGUAAAAUGCGUAGAGAUCAAGAGGAAUACUCAUUGCGAAGGCGACCUCCUGGACGAAAACUGACGCUCAUGUGCGAAAGCGUGGGGAGCAAACAGGAUUAGAUACCCUAGUAGUC